rnacentral:rRNA from 1 species
UACCCGCGCCACGAGUGAUAACCACGUUUAUUGGGCUUAAAGCGUUCGUAGCCGGUCCAGAAAGUCUUUAGUGAAAUCCCAUAGCUAACUAUGGGGCUUGCUAGGGAAACUGUUGGACUUGGGACCGGGAGAGGCAUGGGGUACUCAAGGGGUAGGGGUAAAAUCCUGUAAUCCUUUGGGGACCACCUGUGGCGAAGGCGCCAUGCCAGAACGGAUCCGACGGUGAGGGACGAAAGCCAGGGGAGCAAAGGGGAUUAGAUACCCCCGUAGUCCUGGCUGUAAACGAUGCCCACUAGACAUUGGCAAUCUUACGUGGGUUGUCAGUGCCGUAGCGAAAGCGUUAAGUGGGCCGCCUGGGGAUACGGUCGCAAGGCUGAAACUUAAGGGAAUUGGCGGGGAGCACACAAGGGGUGGAGGCUGCGGUUU